GACGAACCGUGCGAACGUUAUUCGGAAUCACUGGGCUUAAAGGGCGCGUAGGCGGGUUCUCAAGUCUGCGGUGAAAUCCUCCAGCUUAACUGGAGAAGUGCCGUGGAUACUGGGAGUCUCGAGGAGGGUAGGGGCAUCUGGAACGUUGGGUGGAGCGGUGAAAUGCGUUGAUAUCCAACGGAACUCCGGUGGCGAAGGCGAGGUGCUGGACCCUUUCUGACGCUGAGGCGCGAAAGCCAGGGGAGCGAACGGG
rnacentral:rRNA from 1 species